ACCCAAGUGGUCUAAGGGGGCGGUCUGCAAAACCGUUGUUCACCGGUUCAAAUCCGGUAGGCA
rnacentral:tRNA from 1 species